rnacentral:rRNA from 1 species
AACAAACGCUGGCGGCGUGCCUAAUACAUGCAAGUCGAACGGGGAAAGCUUUCGGGUGAGUACUAGUGGCGCACGGGUGAGUAACGCGUGGAUAAUCUGCCUUAGAGUGGGGGAUAACUAGUCGAAAGAUUAGCUAAUACCGCAUAAGACCACAAGAACUGCGGUUCAAGGGGACAAAGGGUUUUCGCUCUAAGAUGAGUCCGCGUAAGAUUAGCUAGUUGGUAGGGUAACGGCCUACCAAGGGGACGAUCUUUAACUGGUCUGAGAGGAUGAUCAGUCACACUGGAACUGAGACACGGUCCAGACUCCUACGGGAGGCAGCAGUAGGGAAUAUUGCACAAUGGAGGAAACUCUGAUGCAGCGACGCCGCGUGAGUGAUGAAGGCCUUCGGGUCGUAAAGCUCUGUCGCAGGGGAAUAACACAAUGAAGGUACCCUGUAAGAAAGGAUCGGCUAACUUCGUGCCAGCCGCCGCGGUAACAC